rnacentral:rRNA from 1 species
UACGAAGGGGGCUAGCGUUGCUCGGAAUUACUGGGCGUAAAGGGCGCGUAGGCGGCACUGUUAGUCAGGCGUGAAAUUCCUGGGCUCAACCUGGGGACUGCGCUUGAUACGGCAGAGCUAGAGGAUGGAAGAGGCUCGCGGAAUUCCCAGUGUAGAGGUGAAAUUCGUAGAUAUUGGGAAGAACACCGGUGGCGAAGGCGGCGAGCUGGUCCAUUACUGACGCUGAGGCGCGACAGCGUGGGGGGCAAACAGG